AUUGAACGCUGGCGGCAGGCCUAACACAUGCCAGUCGAACGGUAACAGGAAACAGCUUGCUGUUUCGCUGACGAGUGGCGGACGGGUGAGUAAUGUCGGGGAAACUGCCUGAUGGCGGGGGAUAACUACUGGAAACGGUAGCUAAUACCGCAUAACGUCGCAAGACCAAAGAGGGGGACCUUCGGGCCUCUUGCCAUCGGAUGUGCCCAGAUGGGAUUAGCUAGUAGGUGGGGUAACGGCUCACCUAGGCGACGAUCCCUAGCUGGUCUGAGAGGAUGACCAGCCACACUGGAACUGAGACACGGUCCAGACUCCUACGGGAGGCAGCAGUAGGGAAUAUUGCACAAUGGGCGCAAGCCUGAUGCAGCCAUGCCGCGUGUAUGAAGAAGGCCUUCGGGUUGUAAAGUACUUUCAGCGGGGAGGAAGGGAGUAAAGUUAAUACCUUUACUCAUUGACGUUACCCGCAGAAGAAGCACCGGCUAACUCCGUG
rnacentral:rRNA from 1 species